rnacentral:rRNA from 1 species
GACGAACCGUGCGAACGUUAUUCGGAAUCACUGGGCUUAAAGCGCGUGUAGGCGGGGCGGCACGUCGGUCGCUGAAAGCCCCGGCUCAACCGGGGAAGCGGCGCCGAUACGACCGCCCUGGAGGGACGUAGGGGGACCUGGAACGUUCCGGUGGAGCGGUGAAAUGCGCAGAGUAUCAGGAGGAACGACCGGUGGCGAAGGCGGGUCUCUGGGCCGAUGAUCGACGCUGGAGGAGCGAAAGCGUGGGGAGCGAACAGG